rnacentral:rRNA from 1 species
UACAGAGGUCUCAAGCGUUGUUCGGAUUCAUUGGGCGUAAAGGGUGCGUAGGUGGCGGGGCAAGUCUGGUGUGAAAUCCCGGGGCUCAACCCCGGAACUGCACUGGAUACUGCCUUGCUAGAGCACUGGAGAGGGAACUGGAAUUUACGGUGUAGCAGUGAAAUGCGUAGAUAUCGUAAGGAAGACCAGUGGCGAAGGCGAGUUCCUGGACAGUUGCUGACACUGAGGCACGGAAGGCUAGGGGAGCAAACGGG